ACGGAAGGCAGCAGUGGGGAAUAUUGCACAAUGGGGGAAACCCUGAUGCAGCGACGCCGCGUGAAGGAAGAAGUAUCUCGGUAUGUAAACUUCUAUCAGCAGGGAAGAUAGUGACGGUACCUGACUAAGAAGCCCCGGCUAACUACGUGCCAGCAGCCGCGGUAAUACGUAGGGGGCAAGCGUUAUCCGGAUUUACUGGGUGUAAAGGGCGCGUAGGCGGGAUGGCAAGUCAGAUGUGAAAUCCAUGGGCUCAACCCAUGAACUGCAUUUGAAACUGUUAUUCUUGAGUAUCGGAGAGGCAAGCGGAAUUCCUAGUGUAGCGGUGAAAUGCGUAGAUAUUAGGAGGAACACCAGUGGCGAAGGCGGCUUGCUGGACGAAAACUGACGCUGAGGCGCGAAAGCGUGGGGAGCAAACAGGAUUAGAUACCCUGGUA
rnacentral:rRNA from 1 species